CCUACGGGUGGCUGCAGUGGGGAAUGUUGGACAAUGGGGGGAACCCUGAUCCAGCCAUGCCGCGUGUGUGAAGAAGGCCCUCGGGUUGUAAAGCACUUUCAGUGAGGAAGAACGCCUGGUGGUUAAUACCCAUCAGGAAAGACAUCACUCACAGAAGAAGCACCGGCUAACUCCGUGCCAGCAGCCGCGGUAAUACGGAGGGUGCGAGCGUUAAUCGGAAUUACUGGGCGUAAAGCGCGCGUAGGUGGCUUGAUAAGCCGGUUGUGAAAGCCCCGGGCUCAACCUGGGAACGGCAUCCGGAACUGUCAAGCUAGAGUGCAGGAGAGGAAGGUAGAAUUCCCGGUGUAGCGGUGAAAUGCGUAGAGAUCGGGAGGAAUACCAGUGGCGAAGGCGGCCUUCUGGACUGACACUGACACUGAGGUGCGAAAGCGUGGGUAGCAAACAGGAUUAGAUACCCUAGUAGUC
rnacentral:rRNA from 1 species